UCCAUUUUUUUUGUCAGUUUUCAGAUCUGCAUAUGCAAACUCAGCCUGGUGAUCAGCUCUCACUGUGCUGCAGGGAGUCACCUGAAGGCUGAUGAUGAUGGAGAGGCACCAAGGGAGAUGGAAGAGCUCUUGGCUGCAUGUUAAAACUGUCUGAUAAAGACUUGCAGGAGCUUUUAGCAGCAAAAGGAAUCCCAGAAUCCCAAGAGGGGUUGGAAGGGAUCACAGUGGGUCAGCUGGUCCAGCCUCCCCAUCCCAGGGCACAGGGCUGUGUCCAGAUCAUUCUGGAAUAUCCCCAUUGAGGAGACUCCACUCCAUCUCUGGGCAAUCUGUUCAGUCCUCAGUCACUGCACAGGAAAGUUCUUCCUCAUAUCCAGGUGGAACUUCCUGGGCAUCAAUUCCUGCCCAUUCCUGUUUUCCUGUUUCUGGGUCCCACAGAGCAGAGCCUGAUCCAUCAAGCUCGUGGAGGUUCAACAUUUUCAGCAUCAUCUCAUCCAAAUCAAAACUGAGUCUGCCCAUGAACCAAGCAGCACCAGGGAUCAGACAGGCACAGGGUGAAACAGCCCCUGGCCUGGUUUUGGUGUGGGAUGAGCAAUCCCAGGACAUGGCUUGGGAAUGAUCAGGACUGGGGCCCCUUCCUGACAAACAAGUUGGAUUCAGCCACCCAGAUUUGAUGGCCAGGAACUUUGAAUCUCAGGGAUGUGGCCAGACAGGGUCAGAUGGCCUCAGGGCCAGAGCCCAGGUCUAGCAGGGUGAGUUUACAGCAGAGGUGUUGCUCCCAGAGCUGGACGUCUGUCUGUCUGUCUGUCUCCUCACAGGAACAGACCACACACUGUCACCCCGCUCCCUCUUCUGUAAAUGUUUAUUUUUAAUUCGGUUGCGUAAUGGAUUUCAAACGAGCUGCCAUGAGAUAGCAGUGAAAGGCUGCAGCCACAUCCUUCUGAAGCUAGUCCAUGGGUUUGAAUGUUUUUUGGCCUGGAUUUAUCUUGGAUAAAUUGUGUUCAUCCAAAAAACACUGGUGGAGAGCUGCUGAAGGAGAGUGGUUCUCCCACUGGUGAUGCCCUAACACCAACCACCUGCAAUGGACACCUGAAAUUAGGUGUGAUCAGUCAAAAUAAACUGUGCAACACCAUCACUAUCCACACCUGUGGCUCAGUAUUUUUUUCUUUUCCUCAGACACAAGGAAUCCUUUCUGUUGCCCCCAGAGCUCCAGAGACUGCCAGUUCCCACAUCAUCCCUGGGCACAGAAGCUUUUCCAGAGGACUGCUGAAUCCUUGGGAACACACAGAUCCAAGCCUCAGUUCCCUGGAGCUCAGCCUUCCAAGCGUGGGAAGAGGAGGCUGUGGUGCUCCCAACCAUCAUCGUCCCAUCCUGGCCAGGAGCAGUCUCCAUGUUGUCCACAGGGAUUGGCACCAGGAAUGUCCUCUGGCAUGGCUGGAGGAUCACCUGGAAGCAAAUCAACCUGGAAACGCGGCAGAGGCACCUCCAGAGGGCAGCAGGUCCCCAGUCUCUGUCAACCUCUCUCAACCCAGUAAGGCUUUGUCAGAACCCACAGGACUGGAGGGACCUUUAAAAAUGCUGUGAUUGCCCUG